GUGCAGACUUUCCAGCGAGGCUCAGCCUGCAGUGGCUCUGUCCUUUCCUCUUGUGUCUGCUAGAGUAAUGUGAGGCUGUUUGAGGCCCUGCUGUGACCACUCUCACUGCAGGGUUAUAGGUAAACCUCCAACAUUA
ensembl:snoRNA Small nucleolar RNA SNORA9